rnacentral:lncRNA from 1 species
CAAGUAGCGCCGCAAGGUGCCGUGCGCAUGGGGCGAAGAUUAGUACUUGUUGAUCGCCAUUGGAUGUUGCAGGCCAAAUCGAGAGGCGAUAUCGCUCGUGGCGGCUGAUGGCUUUUGACAACAGAACGGCAAAGCGUCGUGCAAGUAGCGCCGCAAGGUGCCGUGCGCAUAGCGCGAAGCUUAGUGAGUUGUUGUUGAUUGCCAUCGGUUGUUGUGGGUUGUGUCUAGAAUCUCUCGUGGCGGCUGAUGGCUUUCGACAACGAAAAGCGGAGCCUCGUGCAAGUAGCGCCGCAAGGUGCGGUGCGAAUGGGACGAAGCUCAGUAGAUGUCGAUAGCCAUCGGUUGCUGCGGGCAACAUCUCACGUGGGGGUUGAUGGCUUUCGGCAAUGGAACGGCGGAGCGUCGUGCAAGUAGCGCCGCAAGGUGCCGUGCGCAUGGAGCGAAGCUUAGUAAGUUUCUUAUUGCCAUUGAUUGUUGUGGGUUUUGUCUCCGUGGCGGCAUAUGGCUUUUGACAAAGAACGGUGGAGCAUCAUGCAAGUAGUGCCGCAAGGUGUCGUGCACACGAUGCGAAGCUCGCUAGAUGUUCACUGCCAUCGGUUGUUGCGGGUAUCAUCGGGAGGCGACAUCGCUCGUGGCAGCUGAUGACUUUUUGCAUCAAAAUGGCAAAGCAUCGUGCAAGUAACGCCGCAAGGUGUCGUGCGCAUGGGGCGAAGCUUUGUAAGUUGCUGAUUGCCAUUGGUUGUUGCGGGCAACAUCGGGAGGCAAAAUCGCUCGUGGCGGCUGAUGGCUUUUAGCAACAAAAUUGUAAAGCAUCGUGCAAGUAGUGCCGCAAGGUGCCGUGCGCACGGGGCGAAGCUUAGUAAGUUGCUGAUUGCCAUCGGUUGUUGCGUAUCGUGCAAGUAGCGCCCCAAGGUGCCGUGCGCAUGAUGCGAAGCUUAGUAAGUUGCCGAUUGCCAUCAGUUGUUGUGGGUUGUGUCUGGCAUUGUUCAAACCCCUUAUUUGUGCUUUGCGGGGCUUGUCUUGGCUUUGCAAUGUUGGCAUCGGCAACAACACAUCGCUGCACGUCACGUGUUGGGGCUGGUGUUGGAUUUGUAUCGGCGAGGCAAGUGUACGUGCGGCACAUGAGUGGUGUUCGGCUUGUGUGGCUAGGUAUUUACCGUCUAAAGGAUGGGGCAGAUUAGUUUCCCGAUGGGAUCCAACAAAGCUGUGAAUCAACGGAUGGCGUAGUUGAAGACCUAAAGAAAGAGGUCGACAACUUGAAGGUCGAAAUCAAUGUUCUUAGACGGGCAUUGGCUGCUCCAAGCCAAGGCAAUUCAGUCAUGUCACAAGUGCAAAUUAGGCUUGUUCAACGUCGGUUUUCUGUGUUUCAUACCUAAUGCCAAGGCAUUAUCAAGAACAAUCGGUCGCCUUUCGCCCCUCGCAUUCGACGUGCGCGGUGAACCAAAAGCUGCAGUUGUGUCCCAGGUCAUCCUGGCUUCGCCUUGCGAUGGCUUGGUCCACAACUUAGCUUGCUCGGCUCUCAGAUUCGGUAAACGCAAUGGGCACGGGGCCUUCAUUGGCUUCUAUCUGCCAAAAGAAUGCUAUUUACGAAUGACGGUCGUGCUCGCCUAGGACUUGGCCGUGCCCUUUUGGGUCGGCCACGCUCAUGCGAUGCCGGCGUCAAUGAGGAAUGCUUACCUGGUUGAUCCUGCCAGUAGUCAUAUGCUUGUCUCAAAGAUUAAGCCAUGCAUGUGUAAGUAUGAACAAAUUCAGACUAUGAAACUGCGAAUGGCUCAUUAAAUCAGUUAUUGUUUGUUUGAUGGUAUCUACUACUCGGAUAACCGUAGUAAUUCUAGAUCUAAUACGUAAAUUGAAUCAAUUAUAGUUUGUUUGAUGGUAUCUACUACUCGGAUAACCGUAGUAAUUCUAGAGCUAACACGUGCAACAAACCCCGACUUUUUGAAGGGAUGCAUUUAUUAGAUAAAGGUCAACGCGGGCUCUGCCCGUUGCUGCGAUGAUUCAUGAUAACUCGACGGAUCGCACGGCUAUCGUAGUUGGACUUUGAGAUAGGCCGGCCGGUCCGCCUUUGUUGUGCACCGGUUCUCUCGUCCCUUCUGCCUGCGAUGCGCUCCUUGCCUUAAUAUGCUGGGUCGUGCCUCCGGCGCUGUUUCUUUGAAGAAAUUAGAACAGUUUCAAUGGUAGGAUAGUGGCCUACUGUCACGAGGUCAAUUUUGGCCAACUCCAAAAUCACGCCCAUGCGGCAGUCAAGUCCCGCGCUUGACUCAGCCUUCCGAAACACUUGCAAUUUUCGCAAGUUUGCACUUAGACGAAAUUAGGCAGCAACAUAGAAUUUUGAUGAACACGAAAUAUACAGGACAAAAUUCCCAACCUUUAUAUUAAUAUAGAGAGAAUACAAAGGACCCUCAAUGUCUAUGAACUAUCUGUCCGCUCACAGCCCACUUUUGACUAAGAACACCUAGUCGUUCUUUGUCAAACAAUAAGAUCGUCCCAUGCACAACCUUAACCCUUUUUGAAACACGUAGAACUCCCUCACGUUUCCCUCGUGUUUCCCAAGAGAAAUUCCCGUGAACUUACUCUUUUACAGCAAGUAAUUCCCUUGAACUUACUUGACUAAUUCUGCCUAAGACUAAAGGUCCUAUUUAUAGGCCUUUAUGCUUAACCGCCCAUGACCCAUGUUGUCUAACAGCUUUACAUCAUGCUUCCUAACUUGUAGUUGACAUCCCCAAAUACUUAGGAUCAUGCUACACGAAAUGGGGCCACAAUACAACAAUAACCAGUUCAUGGGGAUAAUGGGGAACAUGGGAGAUCAUGGCCUACAAACAAGGUAACCGCCGCCUACCGCUUUCCAUGUGCUUCUCAUGUGCCAUAUCCUUGACCAGCUGAGUUUUGCCCCAAGGAUGCCCGUGCCAUGCCUUAGUCAAUUAGACAUUGCCCAUGCCAAUGUCUGCCCGCAACCAGCUGCCAUAAUAUUUCCGCACAGGCCCGGCGCCUAUACACCCGCACACUGCCUUGGCCUAGUUUUCUGUCUUGUCCGUGCCAUGCUCGUUUCCCUCAUGCCUGCCUCAUUUCCCUCGUGCCAUUGUUUGUAUUUUCUUUCCAAUAGCCUAGUCUUAUCUAUUUAAAGCCUUUUCCGUCAACCCGCAUUUCCGCCUCGCCUUAGCUUACCCCAUACUUAGCAGCCACAACCCAAUGGUGUCAUGCCCAAUGACUUUGGCGCGCAUGCCGUACCAUGCCGCCCCACUUUGCCGAUGCUGCCUCUCCAAGCUUGUCCCAAGCGCACCUUGCCCAUGCCAAGGCCUUGGCCACUACUUAUUCGUCACAGCCCGUCGACUCGCAUGAUCGUUUGGCUCGCACAUAGGCCAAUGACAAGGCCAUCAUGCCCCAAUCCUUGCCAGAGUCGUGCCACGUCCGAUGACAAAAGUUAGGGGUCUAACAAACCACCCGCACCUUUUGAAAUCGACGCCCUCGUCGAGCCGUCUAAUUUAUGAACUCCAAGGGGUUGUUCCAAAACACCCCCGCCAGUAAUCCUCCCGCAUGUGCCACUAUGGCAUUUGCAUCCGCCUCUUGUUCCUGCCCCUCCGCAGCUAGUACCGCAUUCACCUUAGCCAGGGUAAUCCUCCCGUGUGCGCCACUAUGGCAUUUGCUUCCACUCCUUAUUCCUGCCCUUCCGCAACUAGUAUCGCAUUUACCUUAGCUUGCACCGGACAGUCCCUCUUCAAGUGCGGUCCACCACAAACGAAACACCCUUUGAAUCCGCCGUUCCUUUCCUUGCCAUUGUGAUAUUCUGGUAUCACAAUCUGGACAAGUUGCCCAUUUUCAGACGCUUGGCCCUUCCCGUUUCUCUUCCCUUCCCUUUCCUUGUCCUUCCUUCCGGCGGACAUUGAAGGCGAAUUUUCAAUAGGCUCCUCACCUAUAUUGAGGUCUGCCAACGCAUCUGCCGCUGUAAUGGAAGUAGAGGGGCUUUGCACAUUUUGCCUUCUCAACUCCAAUUGCGCCCAUCCCUUCAACCCGCUCAUGAAGUAAUGCAGCUUGUCUUCUUCCACCAUAUUACUCACAUUGAGCAUCAAGGAUGAAAAUUCCUUGACAUACUCCCUUACCGUGCCACUUUGCUUCAAGUGACGCAGCCCAUCGCGUGCCAUCCACGAUGAAUUCGUUGGAAGGAAUUGGGAUUUUAAUUCCUUCUUCACUUCAAGUGACGCAGUAUGUCUCGUGCCAUCCAAGACGAGUUUGUUGGAAGGAAUUGGGAUUUUAAUACCUUCUUCAUCAACUCCCAAGUUUCAACCCUUGGCAGUCAAGCACCUUCUCCAUCUGCACUUCGUGUACGCCACCACGCCUUUCCAUCGUCCGUCAAGUACAUUCGUGUGGUCACCACCUUUUCAUCGUCGGCUACAUGUGCAGCCUGGAAAUACUGCUCUAUAUCCCAAAGGAAAUUUUCCAGUUCCUUGGCACUUCUUGCAUCACCAUACGGCUUCGGCUCCGUAAUCUUCAACUUAGUGCGCUCAUCGUUUCUGGGGCAGAAUUUGGUAAUGCCCUUCGAAGAUCAGCCACUUCCCGUCGUAAUUCAUCUUUCUCUUGGCGUACCAAGGCCAUUUCUGGCAGCGUUGUCUCGUGUCUCGCCGCAUAAUCUGCCUCCAAAGCGCCAUUCUAGAAAGAACAGAAAAAUCAUCAUUUUCAAGAGCUUGCCCAACUAGUGCUUCCAACGGCUCAACUCUUUGACGCAGCUCCACAUUUGUGCCACCAGCCAUGUUCGCAAAAAUUCCAACGUAAUCUGCCACUGAUCGUUUCGCCACUGGCAUGAACCUGCUCAGCUCUGAUACCAAUUGUCACGGGGUCGAUUUUGGCCAACUCCAAAAUCACGCCCACGCGGCAGUCAAGUCCCGCGCUUGACUCAACCUUCCGAAACAAUGAAAUUUUCGCAAGUUUGCACUUAGACGAAAUUAGGCAGCAACACAGAAUUUAGAUGAACACGAAAUAUACAGGACAAAAUUCCCAACAUUUAUAUUAAUAUAGAAAGAAUACAAAGGACCCCCAAUUGCUAAAAACUAUCCGUCCGCUCACAGCCCACUUUUGACUAAGAACACCUAGUCGUUCUUUGUCAAACACUAAGAUCGUCCCAUGCACAACCUUAGCCCUUUUUUGAAACAUGUAGAACUCCCUCACGUUUCCCUCGUGUUUCCCAAGAGCAAUUCCCGUGAACUUAUUCUUUUACAGCAAGUAUUCCCUUGAACUUACUUGACUAAUUCUACCUAAGCCUAAAGGUCCUAUUUAUAGGACUUUAUGCUUAGCCGCCCAUGACCAAAGUUGUCUAACAGCUUUACAUCAUGCUUCCUCACUUGUAGUUGACAUCCCCAACUACUUAGGAUCAUGCUACACGAAAUAGGGCCACUAUACAACAAUAACCAGUUCAUGGGGAUAAUGGAAACAUGGGAGAUCAUGGCCAACAAACAAGGUAACCGCCGCCAACCGCUUUCCAUGUGCUUCUCAUGUGCCAUAUCCUUGACCAGCAGCGCUUCGCCCCAAGGAUGCCCGUGCCAUGCCUUAGUCAAUUAGACAUUGCCCAUGCCAAUGUCUGCCGCAAUCCGCUGUCAUAAUAUUUUCGCACAUGCCCGGCGCCCAUACACCCGCACACUGCCUUGGCCUAGUUUUCUGCCUUGUACCCGUAACCAGCUGCCAUAAUAUUUCCGCACAUGCCCGGCGCCCAAACACCCGCACACUGCCUUGGCCUAGUUUUCUGCCUUGUCCGUGAAAUGCUCAUUUCCCUCAUGCUUGCCUCAUUUCCCUCGUGCCAUUGUUAGUAUUUUCUUUCCAAUAGCCUAGUCUUAGCUAUUGAAAGCCUUUGCCGUCAACCCGCAUUUCCGCCUUGCCUUAGCUUAGCACGUACUUAGCUGCCACAACCCAAUAGUGUCAUGCCCACUGACUUAGGCGCGCAUGCCGUACCAUGCCGCCCCACUUUGCCGAUGCUGCCUCUCCAAGCCUGUCCCAAGCGAACCUUGCCCAUGCCAAGGACUUGCCACAGCUGUGCCAUGUCCGAUGUCAAAAGAUAGGGGUCUAACAGCCAACUGUUAGACCCCCAAAUAUUGACAUGACUGAUGUCGGGCAGAAUGCGUGUCAAGGUCUUGUGCAUUGCCCCUUGACAUGUCUUCUUGAAUCAUUGACAAGCAAUGUACAAGGCUGGGCGAGUGUCUAAGUGGUGAUGGGCUUAGGCAAGGCAACUAAGACAAGGCAGCUGGAGUGUUGGCAAGGCGGCCUUGGUUUGUGGGCGUCGGCUAUGGCAAAGCAUGGCACUUGAUAAAGGCAUGCGCACGGACUCGCGGGACGACUUAGCUUAUAGCAGGGCGUGGUUAUGAAGUUAAGGGCGAGGCAAGGCCCAAGGCAAAGUCGGGCAGAAGUAUGCGCGGACUGGCGGGACUACUUAGCUUAUAGCAGGGCGUGGCUAUGAAGUUAAGGGCGAGGGGCAAGGUCCAAGGCAAAGCGAGGCAAAGGGAUGUGCGGACUGGUGGGACGACUUAAUUCAUAGCAAGGCGUGGCUAUGGAAAUAUGGGCGAGGCAAGGUCCGAGGCAUAGCUGGGAAAGAGACAAGGGAAACGUGGGCAAAGUGGCUGAAGGUAUGAUCGAAGAUCAUGGGCAAUGUGGCUGAAGGCAUGAUCUAAGAUCAUGGGCAUAGUGGCUGAAGACAUGAUCUAAGAUCAUGGGUAGAGUGCCUGAAGACAUGUUCCCCUUGUAACUGUCCCUUUGUAACUGCCAUUGGCAGCUCCCCCUAUAUAGAUGCAUCUCCGCCUGUGGAUAAGGCAGGCAGAAAAGUAGAGCUAAGUAGCACUACAUACGUGAGCUAAGAGAGAGUCGUUUGUAUAUUCCGAGAGAAUUUAAUAAAGGUUGGGUUUUACCCGUAAACUGUGUGUUCUUAGUUUGGCUGACAAUCUGAAAUUGUAAGGCAGACUGUGUGUGUGCGAAAAGUGAAGGCUGAAGUAGCUGCGAGCUAUUGCCGUGCAGUGUCUAUUAUUUCGAAAAAUUGACCCUGUAACAAUUGGUAUCAGAGCUGAGCAGGCUGUAACUCUUGAACAUGGCGGGUGGGUCUACUUCAAAAUUACGUGAUAGAGUUCAACGGUUGGAGGCGCUAAUCGACGUGACCGAUGAUCCUUUGGAAAUGGCAGAUCUUAUGACAGAGAUCUACCGCCUAAAGGAUGGGGCAGAUCAGUUUCGCGAUGGGAUCCAACAAAGCUAUGAAUCAACGGAUAGCGUGGUUGAAGACCUGAGGAAGGAGGUUGACAACUUGAAGGCCGAAAUCACUGUUCUUAAACUGGUGUUGGCUGCUCCUAGCCAAGGCAGUGAAGAACGCUCGAAGGUGAAGAUUCCUGAUCCAACGGCGUUUGGUGGAGCGCGGAGUGCAAAAGAAUUGGAGAAUUUUCUGUGGGACAUGGAACAAUAUUUUGUUGGUAAUGAUNNNNNNNNNNNNNNNNNNNNNNNNNNNNNNNNNNNNAAAGAAUUGGAGAAUUUUCUGUGGGACAUGGAACAAUAUUUUGUUGCUGCCAAAGUUCCAAAUGCGGAGAAGGUCACAAUUACAAGCAUGUACCUCACGAGAGAUGCUAAAUUGUGGUGGAGAACUGGUAUGUUGGACAAUGAAUCUGCGGGCAGACCAAAAAUUGAUACAUGGGAGAAGCUCAGGAAAGAAAUGAAGGACCAAUUCUUGCCUAGCAAUGCAUCUUGGCUUGCUAGAGACCAUCUGAAACGCUUGAGACAAACAGGAUCUAUGUGGGAUUAUAUUAAGGAAUUCCUUUCCUUAUUGUUGGAUGUUCAAAGCAUGUCAGAGGAUGACAAAUUGCAUAAUUUUAUUUCUGGAAUGCAAGCAUGGGCGCAGAAGGAACUUAGGAGGCAGACUGUGAAGGACCUCCCAAGUGCAAUGGCUGCAGCGGAUGCAUUGGUGGACUAUCGCAGCACCCGUGAUCUUUCGGAUAUUCCUCCUACUUAAAAACCUAACUAACGGGUUGAGAAGAAAGGGGAAUGGCGGAAGUCCGUUCGAGAGGAAGUCGCUGAGAAGGGCAAGGUUGUCAAUGAGGUUGUUCAAAACAAAGGCGUCGCAAACAAGAAAAUUGGUCGUUGCUGGACGUGCGGAGGACCUCAUCUUGCCAAAGUCUCUCCAAAUCGUGAGCGGGUAAUGUUUUGCUUGCUAUAGAAGGUAAACAAGAUGAAGAAGGCGAGGGAUUUGUUGCUGCCUUGGUAGAUCCUUUGCAAUUGUUGAAUUAUAUCUCGUGUCUAAAUGUUACAAGUAACGAGACGAACCCUUAUUCUUUGCUGAUGCACAUCGAGAUGAAAAUUUGAGAAAGAAGUGUGAUUGCUAUGGUAGACUCUGGUGCUACUCAGACACUUAUUUCUGUCAGUUUGGUGCAUAUGUAUCGACUAAGAGUGUCGAAAUGUCUCUCUUACGUGAACAUGGUGAACUCCAAAGCACAAGCCAUUGUGGGCAUGGCUUAUGAUGUUCCUAUGUCAGUUGGGAACUCGAAAGGGAAGGUCAAUUUGAUGGUAAUUCCGAUGGAAGAGUUUGAGGUGAUCCUCGGAAUUGACAUCAUGCGGAAACAUCACUUAGUUCCAAUGCCUCAUUUGAACGGAGUGAUGAUCAUGAAUGAUGCGGCUCCUGGUUUCGUGAAAGUUGUUUAUCCUUAUGUAGGAGAAUAAAUUCCAAGUAAGGCCUCUUUAAAUUCUGCGAGGAUGGUUGGAAAAGGGUUGAAGAAGGGAGGUGAGACUUUCCUUGCUGCUGCUGGGGUUGAAGUAAGGCCUGAUGCUAAGUUUAAAGUGCCGGACUGCGCUACUCAAUACUUGAGUGACUUUACGGAGGUGAUGCCACCAGAGUUGUCUAAAAUUCUGUCACCACGGAGGGCUAUUGAUCACAUGAUGGAGCUGAUCACUGGUACGAUGCUUCCUACUAAACCCCAUAAGGGGUUGAACAAGGUGGAGGUGGGAAAAACCUAUCAUGUUCCGUUGGUGCAAGAGUUGGCUGAAUUGCGGGAGAAAUUGAGCAAGGCAUGCUGGUUCGUGAAGCUGGAUAUACGGUCUGGUUGUUGGCAGAUUCGGAUAGCUAAAGGUGAUGAGUUCGUUAUGAGGUAUGGCUCAUAUAAAUUCCUUACUAUGUCGGUCGGAUGGAUGGAUGCCCCUAUUGCACUUUACAACCUCAUGAAUAAAGGGCUUUAUGAGAACAUAGAUCACCUUGUCGUUGUGUACUUAGAUGACAUUGUUAUCUAUGGUCGGAAUUCGGGUAAACAUAUGUCACACUUGGCAAAGGUGCUGUCUCGCUUGAGGGAGUACAAGCUGCGUGAGAAGUGUGGAUUUUCUAGACAGGAGAUCAAAUAUCAUGGGCACUUGGUGAGCCAGAAUCAGGUGUUGAUGGACCCGAACAAGGCGCAGGUUAGUGCGGAGUGGCAGGUGCCGAGAGCUAGGAAAGAAUUGAGAUCUUUCCUCGGGUUGGCUAAUUUCUAUCAGAAACUCAUUGCGGAGUUUGAGUUGCUGUUUGAAGUGAAUGAAGCAGGACAAGGGUAUUCGGCUCAUGUGGAGGAAGUCUUUGUUGCUGUUUAUUCCACUAUGGGACUUGAGUUAGAUUUUGUUGACCAAAUCAAGUAAGAUGAUGUCAAUGGUUCAUUGUACAUAAACACAAUGAAUUACGUGAAGGAAGGUACUGUGCGACAGUACUGGAUCAAGGGCGACAAGGUAUUGCUAGAAGGUACUGUGCAACAGUACUGGAUCAAUCUCGACAAGGUAUUAAUUGAUAGAACCUUGGUUGCGAAAUAUGGUGGUCCGUUCGAAGAGCAGAUCGAGGGCUACUUGAGCUUAGCCUCGACGAGGACGUCGAGUUCAAUUGGUAAGGGUGGUUUGUUAGACCCCCAAUUGUUGACAUGACGGAUGUCGGGCAUAAUGCUUGUCAAGGGCUUGUGCAUUGCCCCUUGACAUGUCUUCUUGAAGCAUUGACAAGCAAUGUACAAGGCUGGGCGUGUGUCUAAGUGGUGAUGGACUU